AGCAAGUCCUUUCGUUGUGCGCGUAGCUUUCCAAUAAUUCGUACGCGUCGCAAUUCGCAUUCCGGUUACAGUCGCAGUUUUAUUGUACGCGAGUGACGAGUGCUGUGGUAAUAUAAUGCGCGUAGACGCUCUGAGAUAAUUGUGCGUGACAAUAACUUUGGAAUUCGGAAGACCCGACGAUAAUUAGCUACACGUCGUCUUGUGAUACCAAAUGGAGUGCAUCUCAUUCUACGGUGAGACAAAUUAUUGCAGCCUGUGAAGAGUGAACAAGUACCAACAGGACCCUUUUACUAUUGCCAGGUGAAUUGUGACUCAUCGAGCAAUUCUUGAAAACACAUGGAUUACCUAAGAGGAGGGAAGCACAUGGGAAGGAGCUGAGCGCGGCGGUGUACGGUAAGUGCACGUAACGCUCAUUAAUAACGCGAUUAUUAGGCGCGGCGCCAGCCCGGUUACGCUAUUCGGAUCCUAACCUAAUUGGCAUGGACAAUCGGCCACGCCGUGAGCCGUUUCGUCCACCGAUGAAUUUAUCUUCUUUCCCGCGGGCCGCGAUGCAGCCCAUAAUUUUCCGACGGACCUACCUAUGUCGCUCCUUCGACAAAUAAAUUUUUCCCCGCCGUCACGUUUCGCCCACGCACGAUAA